AUCGCCAAAUAGCUAGCUAAUUAUUGGAUUAUAGAUGUCAAGUUUUUUUGCAAUGUUCAACUAGCUUGCUAAAUUGAUUAUUACCAUUUACCAGUUGGUAAUUAUGAAUGUUUGCUAAAUCUAGCUAGUUAUCUUGUGUCUGCAUUGCCAUUGUUGGGCUGGAAGCAGUUACAGGGCGUUUUAGUACAGCUGUACCAGUCAAUAAGCAAUAACAAACUAUAGUACAUGAAUAAAUUCAUCUCUUAACACGUUUUUGUGGUCUUUCAGCAUGAACCUGCUCUCUGCCACCAGUAAAAGGAGAUGAUUGAGGGUGAACAUGCAACACAUCAGCUUUAAUUGUCUGGAGCCUGGUGUUGUGGCCAAGGAGCUUUCACUCAGAUGGAACCAGGUUACAGCUGCUGUGCAAUGUUGAUGUCCUUCCUCCCAGACAUGUGAAUGCAUCCCCCGGACUGGACACAACCCGGCAAACAUAUUUUUUGAGGAGAUCAGGACUUUUGCAAUGAAAAGGCCAUGGACACUAUGUCCUGCUCCAAAGGGCAGGAUAGAAAUAUGCUCUCAGGCUAGAUUCCUUUGUUCAUAUCAUAACCUGAACCAAAGUUAUUCUAAUGAUCUUGUGAUAUAGGCCUAGGUCAAUAUAUUGUUUUUACCUCAGCCUUUGUGUUUUUAAGUUUUUCGUAAUUGUAGGCUACUACCUUUAGCACUGGAAGUUAAUAAAGUAUUGUU